AUAUAUAUAUAUUUUUUUUUUCGCCUUUUAUAAAUCGACCACCUCUCCUCUUCCAAAUAACUCGAUCGAUAACGUUUAGAUGAGAACCACUGCGACGAAGCAGAUUAUCCUAUAAAGAAGUAGACUGACCCGACAAACGCAGCUGCUGUCCUUGGCCUCGCAAAAAGCCAAAAUUAGAAAUGGCACUUAGUAACUCGGAGAAAGAGAUUG